UACGUAGGGACCGAGCGUUGUCCGGAAUCAUUGGGCGUAAAGGGCGCGUAGGUGGCCCGGUCAGUCAGUGGUGAAAGCGCGGGGCUCAACUCCGCGUCGGCCAUUGAUACUGCUGGGCUUGAGCACUGUAGAGGCAGGCGGAAUUCCGGGUGUAGCGGUGGAAUGCGUAGAGAUCCGGAAGAACACCGGUGGCGAAGGCGGCCUGCUGGGCAGUGGCUGACACUGAGGCGCGACAGCGUGGGGAGCAACAGGAUAGA
rnacentral:rRNA from 1 species